GGGCUGCUGAGAAUAGAUAUACAAUCGCUUCUCCGCCUUUUGGCUAAGAUCAAGUGAAGAAUAGGUGUACAAAAAUAGACUCUACAACAGCUGCAUGUGACACUCUCCUUGAUAUUUUUUUUAAUCAACGACAUGUUUUGUUUCUCACAAAGAGAAUAGAUCAUCAAGAGUCUGUGCUGACAGUGGCAGCCAAUCUUGAUGGAGCCAAGAGAACCCUAGAGCGCUCACUGAGGCACUGACACUAAUUCACAUGGCCCUGAUACGAAGAGGAAGCAUAUUGAUUCUCCUUCUUGUUGUUGCUAUGACAAAAUACACAGCAAAAGCAACUUAAAGAAGGCAGAAAGUGUUUAUUUUGACCCAUCCUUUGAGCUGGUACCAUCCAUCAAGGCAGGGAACACACAGCAGCUGGAGUGUGAGAGGUGCUCCAGAGAGAGUCUCUGCCAACCUGCUAGUCAUCAGUGAGCAAUGGGGACCAUCACUGUGCAGGAUCCACCUUGGACAGCCCAUUCAGUUGAACCUCCAGUGAAUUCCAACCCUUGCCACCAUUUCACCAGUCACACAGAACCCUGGACUGCACUGACCCAUGCUAAGACUCCACAUCUGACAGUUUGCCCAAAGGAAAAGAAAGGUUCAAAGACAAAACUGAUCCAACAAAAUAAGCCCUAAGAUGUAAUGAUUGACACUCUAUAAAGUUAAACUAAAAAAACAAC